AGCGAACGCUGGCGGCAGGCCUAACACAUGCAAGUCGAACGAACUCUUCGGAGUUAGUGGCGGACGGGUGAGUAACACGUGGGAACGUGCCUUUAGGUUCGGAAUAACUCAGGGAAACUUGUGCUAAUACCGCAUGUGCCCUUCGGGGGAAAGAUUUAUCGCCUUUAGAGCGGCGCGCGUCUGAUUAGCUAGUUGGUUAGGGUAAUGGCCCACCAAGGCGGCGAUCAGUAGGUGGUCUGAGAGGAUGGCCAGCCACAUUGGGACUGAGACACGGCCCAAACUCCUACGGGAGGCAGCAGUGGGGAAUCUUGCGCAAUGGGCGAAAGCCUGACGCAGCCAUGCCUCGUGUAUGAUGAAGGUCUUAGGAUUGUAAAAUCCUUUCACCGGUGAAGAUAAUGACGGUAGCCGGAGAAGAAGCCCCGGCUAACUUCGUGCCAGCCGCCGCCGUAACAC
rnacentral:rRNA from 1 species